AGAGAGUGGGAGUUGGUUGGCUGUGGAGAAGAAGGGGGUCAGUGCUGUGAGGAGAUGCCCAUGAGACAUCACCAAGAAGGAUUUUUGUCUGGGAGUUAGCUAAGCCUGAAGAUUAAUGUUACAGGGGAAAAUAGGCACAAAGGGAAUCUAAACUAAUGGCCCCAAGGACUGCAGCUUCAGGAACAGAUUUUUAUGUGUGCUCAUGUGAAUAUUCCAACCUGCAUCAGACCAAGCAACAAAUGUUGAAGAAUUCAUGUCCCCCCUGGGAUAUAAAACCUAAUAUGUACUUGGCAGUGGAAAACAAUCAAUCUGCAGUUGCUUAGAGGCUUAAUUAAAGGCCAGCUAUACCUGUGGCAAAAACUGGCAAACAUUGACUUUUCAAUGGUUUCUGUGAGCAAUUCAAAGGAAAAAAAAAAACCAGCCAAAAUUCAAACCUACUUGACUUAGUGUAAAGAGAAAAGUAAUUCUGAAGAGCAGGUGGGCUUUGGGAACACAACCUUUACUGAUGGAAGCCUUGGAGAUAAACACAACUUAGACAAGUGCUUAAAUGAUGCACAGGAUAGAAGAAGUUACCUUAACAAGAUCUAUUUUAUAGAGCUGUGUGUUUUUACUACCAGCUUGCAACUAAGAACUCAUGAAAAAGAGAAGUGCUUCUGAAAUGGUGGAAACAAAAUGUAUUGCCCCCUCUGGUAGAACAGCCAAGGGAUCUGAGGCAGUCCCUCAGCCCCUGCUGUGCAGGGAUGCAGCUGAACACCAUGUGGGAAAUGCAGUGAAGUCCAGCAGAGAUCACAGUGGCAGGGUUUUAAAGAAAUUACACUAAAAACUGCAGAGUUUAAGCUUCUUUUAAAGGAACAUUUGCUGUGAACCUUUGAAGAAAGACCCUCACUUGCUCUAAGCCUGGCUCACAAGUGAAAUGAAAGCUGUCCUUGCAGUGCUAUUCAGCUGUCCUCAAUGCACUUUCCAGUAAGAAGCCAUUAAUAGCCUCCAACAGGAGAGCAGAUGAACAGGAAACAGUUUCUGUGAAACUCUCCUCCUUGCUGCUGCUCUAAAACACACUCUAAGGCUCAUUCCAUUUGUGUGAGUGAUUUCUAAACAGCCCACUUAUUUAAAACUCCAUUUUUGCUGGACUAAAUUUCCCUCCUAUAAAGAGAGCCAGGGUGACAUUUAUGGUAGUGCCACAGCCA